UCCUCCUUAGCUCAGUUGGUUAGAGCAUCUGACUGUUAAUCAGAGGGUCCAAAGUUCGAGUCUUUGAGGAGGAG
rfam:Psychroflexus salarius strain DSM 25661 genome assembly, contig: Ga0131153_106